UUGACAUGUGUAUCGCGGUUCCAGAGAUGGUUCCUUCAGUUCGGCUGGAUACAACACAGGUGCUGCAUGGCUGUCGUCAGCUCGUGUCGUGAGAUGUUCGGUUAAGUCCGGCAACGAGCGCAACCCACAUUCUUAGUUGCCAGCAUUCAGUUGGGCACUCUAGGAAAACUGCCGAUGAUAAGUCGGAGGAAGGUGUGGAUGACGUCAAGUCCUCAUGGCCCUUACGGGUUGGGCUACACACGUGCUACAAUGGUAGUGACAAUGGGUUAAUCCCCAAAAGCUAUCUCAGUUCGGAUUGGGGUCUGCAACUCGACCCCAUGAAGUCGGAAUCGCUAGUAAUCGCGUAACAGCAUGACGCGGUGAAUACGUUCCCGGGCCUUGUACACACCGCCCGUCACACCAUGGGAGUUGGGUCUACCCGAAGGCGGUGCGCCAACCAGCAAUGGAGGCAGCCGACCACGGUAGGCUCAGCGACUGGGGUGAAGUCGUAACAAGGUAGGCGUAGUGCU
rnacentral:rRNA from 1 species